CCUCUCGAAAACUGAAAAAUGAAAAAGGAACAAAGAACUCUAGCACCCUCAGGCUCUCGCAGCCCCGCAGCCACCGGAGCCCCCGUAGUCACCGCAGCUCCUGCAGCCCCACUUCGUUGUCAUCGCGGAACUCUCCUCCGCUGGGAAGCUCCGUCGCGAAGCAACUAUACGGAGCAAGAAAAGUGUGGGUUCUGAGUACAUUGCCAUUGGGGUGCUUUACCAGGAGGUAGAACUGCAGCAGGAGGACCUUUAAGAUUGUGUUCUGAUAUUGUCAAUAGAGAAGCUCAAUUAUUCAAUGGUCAAUUAGCAUCGCCGGUUAGUUCUUUGCAAGCCAUACUUUCUGGUUCUACCUUUCAAUUCAUGAUUUCUAUGCUGCACUGCUCAAGAUCAUACAAAAUCCUUUUAGUUCAGGUGCAAGAUUUACAUUUUAUUAUUUCUGACUAUUUCUUUUGAGUGGAGCAGUGAUACACACUCGCUUUCUUAUCAGCAGUCAUGGAGAAUGAUGGCAAAGAGUCGUAAGAUGGUGAUUAAUCUGAGAAUUUAAGUGUUGAAUAUGAGUACAAUUCUGAUGAAAGUGAUGAUAUGGUGGAUGUAACUGUAGAUGAAGUAGAGGCAGAUAUAAUUAAUGUUGAUGGUUUUGAAAAGUUGAUAACUGAUUUGACCAUCAAAGACAUAUGGGGAUUGGUGUUUGAUACAGAAUCUCAAGUUUGUGAAUUUUAUGUCAAAUAUGCCAAGUGCUAUGGUUUGUGUCCCAAAAAGACUUGAAGAUGGUGGAUGCUAAUGCCAACAUUAAUACAAGACAAUUGGUUUGCAAUAAAGGAGGAGAAAGACAUUGGAAACACCUUGAAAGGGAUAAUCGGCAAAGGGAAGCAUAAGGCAAUUACUCGUGUCAACUGCAGGGCGAGGAUUUGUUUCAUUUGUCACUAUAGAAUGGUUAAGUGGAAAGUCAGUGUGUUUGAGAGUGAACACAAUCAUCUACUGUGCCCACCUAAGUACAGGCAUCUUAUUCCCGCGAAUCGUGGGCUUAAUGAGGCCGAUAAAACACAAACAAACAGCUUGCAAGCAUGUGGUGUUAAAACUUGUCACAUAAUGGGUUACAUGGUUUCCCAAAAAGGUGGAUACGAUAAAGUGGGUUUUACCAGCAAAGACCUACAUAACUACAUUAGUAAGACUAGACGUGGCAAAGUGAAAGACGGUGAUGCAUUUGCUGCGUUGGCCUAUUUAUUGUCCAAGGCAGAUAGUGACCCGUUAUUUCAAUAGGUGAAGCUUAAUUUUCACUCUAGCAUUUUGAUUCUUUGAACCACUUUUAUAUUGUAAGCUGAACAAGUAAUGUUUUUGGUUAACCAGAAUGAGCAAUCACUUAAUUAAGGAUGUUGAUUUUUUGUUA